GACGAACGCUGGCGGCGUGCCUAAUACAUGCAAGUUGAGCGCUGAAGGUUGGUACUUGUACCAACUGGAUGAGCAGCGAACGGGUGAGUAACGCGUGGGGAAUCUGCCUUUGAGCGGGGGACAACAUUUGGAAACGAAUGCUAAUACCGCAUAAAAACUUUAAACACAAGUUUUAAGUUUGAAAGAUGCAAUUGCAUCACUCAAAGAUGAUCCCGCGUUGUAUUAGCUAGUUGGUGAGGUAAAGGCUCACCAAGGCGAUGAUACAUAGCCGACCUGAGAGGGGGAUCGGCCACAUUGGGACUGAGACACGGCCCAAACUCCUACGGGAGGCAGCAGUAGGGAAUCUUCGGCAAUGGACGAAAGUCUGACCGAGCAACGCCGCGUGAGUGAAGAAGGUUGUCGGAUCGUAAAACUCUGUUGGUAGAGAAGAACGUUGGUGAGAGUGGAAAGCUCAUCAAGUGACGGUAACUACCCAGAAAGGGACUGCUAACUACGUG
rnacentral:rRNA from 1 species